rnacentral:rRNA from 1 species
GACGAACGCUGGCGGCGUGCUUAACACAUGCAAGUCGAACGGAAAGGCCCUGCUUUUGUGGGGUGCUCGAGUGGCGAACGGGUGAGUAACACGUGAGUAACCUGCCCUUGACUUUGGGAUAACUUCAGGAAACUGGGGCUAAUACCGGAUAGGAGCUCCUGCUGCAUGGUGGGGGUUGGAAAGUUUGGGCGGUUGGGGAUGGACUCGCGGCUUACCAGCUUGUUGGUGGGGUAGUGGCUUACCAAGGCUUUGACGGGUAGCCGGCCUGAGAGGGUGACCGGCCACAUUGGGACUGAGAUACGGACCAGACUCCUACGGGAGGCAGCAGUGGGGAAUAUUGCACAAUGGGCGGAAGCCUGAUGCAGCAACGCCGCGUGCGGGAUGACGGCCUUCGGGUUGUAAACCGCUUUCGCCUGUGACGAAGCGUGAGUGACGGUAAUGGGUAAAGAAGCACCGGCUAACUACGUG